rnacentral:rRNA from 1 species
CGAACGUAUCACUUAAAGCGAUUCAGCGGGUUACGAUUGACGGAGCGAAGCGACGUCAAAGCGUAUACAAAGUCGAGUCGGUUUAAGGAUACGUUCGUUGGGUAGGGGAGCGUUCUGUAAGCCUGCGAAGGUGGCCUGUGAGGGUUGCUGGAGGUAUCAGAAGUGCGAAUGCUGACAUAAGUAACGAUAAAGCGGGUGAAAAGCCCGCUCGCCGGAAGACCAAGGGUUCCUGUCCAACGUUAAUCGGGGCAGGGUGAGUCGACCCCUAAGGCGAGGCCGAAAGGCGUAGUCGAUGGGAAACGGGUUAAUAUUCCCGUACUUGGUGUUACUGCGAAGGGGGGACGGAGAAGGCUAUGUUGGCCGGGCGACGGUUGUCCCGGUUUAAGCGUGUAGGUGUGUGUUCCAGGUAAAUCCGGUUCACUUUAACACUGAGGCGUGAUGACGAGGCACUACGGUGCUGAAGCAACAAAUGCCCUGCUUCCAGGAAAAGCCUCUAAGCAUCAGGUAACAUCAAAUCGUACCCCAAACCGACACAGGUGGUCAGGUAGAGAAUACCAAGGCGCUUGAGAGAACUCGGGUGAAGGAACUAGGCAAAAUGGUGCCGUAACUUCGGGAGAAGGCACGCUGACACGUAGGUGAAGUGAUUUACUCAUGGAGCUGAAGUCAGUCGAAGAUACCAGCUGGCUGCAACUGUUUAUUAAAAACACAGCACUGUGCAAACACGAAAGUGGACGUAUACGGUGUGACGCCUGCCCGGUGCCGGAAGGUUAAUUGAUGGGGUCAGCGCAAGCGAAGCUCCUGAUCGAAGCCCCGGUAAACGGCGGCCGUAACUAUAACGGUCCUAAGGUAGCGAAAUUCCUUGUCGGGUAAGUUCCGACCUGCACGAAUGGCGUAAUGAUGGCCAGGCUGUCUCCACCCGAGACUCAGUGAAAUUGAACUCGCUGUGAAGAUGCAGUGUACCCGCGGCAAGACGGAAAGACCCCGUGAACCUUUACUAUAGCUUGACACUGAACAUUGAGCCUUGAUGUGUAGGAUAGGUGGGAGGCUUUGAAGUGUGGACGCCAGUCUGCAUGGAGCCGACCUUGAAAUACCACCCUUUAAUGUUUGAUGUUCUAACGUGGACCCGUAAUCCGGGUUGCGGACAGUGUCUGGUGGGUAGUUUGACUGGGGCGGUCUCCUCCUAAAGAGUAACGGAGGAGCACGAAGGUUGGCUAAUCCUGGUCGGACAUCAGGAGGUUAGUGCAAUGGCAUAAGCCAGCUUGACUGCGAGCGUGACGGCGCGAGCAGGUGCGAAAGCAGGUCAUAGUGAUCCGGUGGUUCUGAAUGGAAGGGCCAUCGCUCAACGGAUAAAAGGUACUCCGGGGAUAACAGGCUGAUACCGCCCAAGAGUUCAUAUCGACGGCGGUGUUUGGCACCUCGAUGUCGGCUCAUCACAUCCUGGGGCUGAAGUAGGUCCCAAGGGUAUGGCUGUUCGCCAUUUAAAGUGGUACGCGAGCUGGGUUUAGAACGUCGUGAGACAGUUCGGUCCCUAUCUGCCGUGGGCGCUGGAGAACUGAGGGGGGCUGCUCCUAGUACGAGAGGACCGGAGUGGACGCAUCACUGGUGUUCGGGUUGUCAUGCCAAUGGCACUGCCCGGUAGCUAAAUGCGGAAGAGAUAAGUGCUGAAAGCAUCUAAGCACGAAACUUGCCCCGA